AAAAUAUAUCCCCAAAAACAGAAAACGGAUCUGACAACAAUCGACCUUUAUGCAAAACCUCUUAUAUGCCUAAUUUUACGCGGAAUGUUGUGCGGAAAAUCAGGCCUGUGCCCUGUGUUGCUGUCAGUUGUGACAGUUCCCAGAUGGGGUCUGCUACUGUAUGUGAGAUUGAAUUUCUCACAAAAAAAACUCCCUCUCCAUCCAAACCGUCCUCAAAAACCUUCUCCAGGCACAGGUCGGUGCGCCAGCUCCCAGGACAGAGGCUAUGUUGUCUUGUCGAAAAGCCCUGAGUGCUCCGCAUGAAAGGAACCGCUCGGGGUCUCUGUAUAGCCGAGGACAUUAUCAGUGGAUGGGAAUCGACAAGGGCUGUUGGAACCUGAUGGUAUUUCUUCCUAUUAGAGGUCGUGGAUAUAACGAACCUUAUCUAAUCCAUGCCAACCAACCAACCAGUCAGAAGUGAAACAGUCCAACUGAAGACUAUGGAACCAUGGAGAUGGCGGCAAGACCACCAUUCUGUCCUUAAUAAUCAACUCGAAUAUGUAGGCUACAUAUUGUUUGAGAAAAUCAUUUCUGAGUUAAAGGGACAGUCUUCAGUUGAAACAAUUACAAAGUGGACACCCUACCUCUGUAUUGGUUAAAAAAACGGAGGGAAGGGCCUGGAGAAAUGUAACCACUCUAAAAUGCAUAGAUAGCGCAAUGGAUGCAAGGACUGACCACCCAAUAUAUCAAAAAUAGUUUUAAGCAUGUUUUGUAGCUAAAUAUGUGUAUACCGAUACAAUUGGUUUUGGUUUGUUUGUUUACAUGUGCAAUGUUUACAAACAAGCUUAUAUUUUGGUUCUGAUGGGGUACGACAGUUGAACUAAAUUUAUGAGGCAUUUAUAUGUCAUAUUCUUCAAGAAUCAAUGGGCAACGGGUAUUCACACACUUGACUUUUUAAACAUUUUGUUGUGCCUUCAGAAAGUCUUCAUACUCCUUGACUUUUUAAACAUUUUGUUGUGUUACAAAGUGGGAUUCAAAUUCAAAAUGAAUUGUAUUUUUUUUUUGUCAACAACCUACACAAAAUACUAUAACAUUUGUUUUAAAAAAUGUAUGGAAAAUAAAACAUUAAUUUAUCUUGAUUAGCUACGUAUUCAACCCCCUGAGUCAAUACAUGUUAGCAUCACCUUUGACAGCUGUGUGCAAUAAUAAUAACAUGAUGCAGCCACCACCGUGCUUGAAAAUAUGAAGAGCGGUACUCAGUGAUGUGUUGUGUUGGAUUUGCCCCAAACAUACAGUAAUGUUUUGUAUUCAGGACAUAAAGGAACAUUUCUUUGCCACAUUUUUUUCACAAUAUUACUUUAGUGCCUUAUUGCAAACAGGAUGCAUGAUUUGGAAUAUUUUUAUAAUGUACAGGCUUCCUUCUUUCACUGUCCUUUAGCAAUUUAGGUUAGUAUUGUGGAGUAACCACAAUGUUGUAGGUCAAUUUCUCCUAUCACAGCCAUUAAACUCUAACUGUUUUAAAGUCACCAUUGGCCUCAUGGUGAAAUCCUUGAGCGGUUUCUUUCCUCUCCGGCAACUGAGUUAGGAAUGAUGCCUGAAUCUUUGUUGUGACUGGGUGUGUUGAUACACCAUCUAAAGU
ensembl:lncRNA